GAUGAACGCUGGCGGCGUGCCUAAUACAUGCAAGUCGAGCGAACAGACGAGGAGCUUGCUUCUCUGAUGUUAGCGGCGGACGGGUGAGUAACACGUGGAUAACCUACCUAUAAGACUGGGAUAACUUCGGGAAACCGGAGCUAAUACCGGAUAAUAUUUUGAACCGCAUGGUUCAAAAGUGAAAGACGGUCUUGCUGUCACUUAUAGAUGGAUCCGCGCUGCAUUAGCUAGUUGGUAAGGUAACGGCUUACCAAGGCAACGAUGCAUAGCCGACCUGAGAGGGUGAUCGGCCACACUGGAACUGAGACACGGUCCAGACUCCUACGGGAGGCAGCAGUAGGGAAUCUUCCGCAAUGGGCGAAAGCCUGACGGAGCAACGCCGCGUGAGUGAUGAAGGUCUUCGGAUCGUAAAACUCUGUUAUUAGGGAAGAACAAAUGUGUAAGUAACUGUGCACAUCUUGACGGUACCUAAUCAGAAAGCCACGGCUAACUACGUG
rnacentral:rRNA from 1 species